ensembl:lncRNA
CAGGGGGACAUGGUAGUGUCUGGUCCAAUAGUGUCUGUCUCAGCUCAGCAGGGGGACAUGGUAGUGUCUGGUCCAAUAGUGUCUGUCUCAGCCCAGCAGGGGGACAUUGUAACCUUCUGUCUCCCAACAGCCAAUAGCGUGAGCCGCCUGCCACACCUACUGAUCUGAACUUUAGCACUUCUGAACCCUGGCGUCCGGUGACCAGGAUAUUUAUCCUGCUGGCGUACAACAUUCUGAGGAAGGUUAAGUAACUUCCUGGUCCAUAGUAAUGGAUCAUUCAAUCAUUGAUGCCAGUAUGUUUUCAGUCUCUUUAUGUUGUCAGUCACUCUGCUCAGGAGCUCAAGGCUCUUCUAGUGUCGUCCCAUUUCUCACUGUGAAACCACACUGACAAUCAGACGUGACUUUCUGUACUUCUGAGUCCAACAUGGUUUCAAUAGAAGAAGUAAAACAGUGUAGUUUAUGAACUGGGUCACAACACCGUAAGGAUAUUCUCUGGUGAAGGAAGGAAACACAUCCAGACCUCUGUCUCUCGAUUCCUUAUGUGGCAGGUAGCCUAGUGGUUAGAGCCUAGUGGUUAGUAUGGGGCGGCAGGUAGCCUAGUGGUUAGAGCCUAGUGGUUAGUAUGGGGCGGCAGGUAGCCUAGUAGUUAGGGCCUAGUGGUUAGUAUGGGGCGGCAGGUAGCCUAGUGGUUAGAGCCUAGUGGUUAGAGCCUAGUGGUUAGAGCCUAGUGGUUAGUAUGGGGCGGCAGGUAGCCUAGUGGUUAGAGCCUAGUGGUUAGUAUGGGGCGGCAGGUAGCCUAGUGGUUAGAGCCUAGUGGGUAGAGCCUAGUGGUUAGUAUGGGGCGGCAGGUAGCCUAGUGAUUAGAGCCUAGUGGUUAGUAUGGGGCGGCAGGUAGCCUAGUGGUUAGAGCCUAGUGGGUAGAGCCUAGUGGUUAGUAUGGGGCGGCAGGUAGCCUAGUGGUUAGAGCCUAGUGGGUAGAGCCUAGUGGGUAGAACCUAGUGGUUAGUAUGGGGCGGCAGGUAGCCUAGUGGUUAGAGCCUAGUGGUUAGCAUGGUGCGGCAGGUAGCCUAGUGGUUAGAGCCUAGUGGUUAGUAUGGGGCGGCAGGUAGCCUAGUGGUUAGAGCCUAGUGGUUAGUAUGGGGCGGCAGGUAGCCUAGUGGUUAGAGCCUAGUGGUUAGCAUGGUGCGGCAGGUAGCCUAGUGGUUAGAGCCUAGUGGUUAGUAUGGGGCGGCAGGUAGCCUAGUGGUUAGAGCCUAGUGGUUAGUAUAGGGCGGCAGGUAGCCUAGUGGUUAGAGCCUAGUGGUUAGAGCCUAGUGGUUAGUAUGGGGCGGCAGGUAGCCUAGUGGUUAGGGCCUAGUGGUUAGAGCCUAGUAGUUAGGGCCUAGUGGUUAGAGCCUAGUGGUUAGAGCCUAGUGGUUAGUAUGGGGCUGCAGGUAGCCUAGUGGUUAGAGCCUAGUGGUUAGUAUAGGGCGGCAGGUAGCCUAGUGGUUAGUAUAGGGCUGCAGGUAGCCUAGUGGUUAGUAUGGGGCGGCAGGUAGCCUAGUGGUUAGAGCCUAGUGGUUAGUAUAGGGCUGCAGGUAGCCUAGUGGUUAGAGUGUAGAGGCGGCAGGGUAUACUAGUGGUUAGAGCGUUUGGCCAGUAACUGAAAGGUUGCUGGAUCGAAACCCUGAGCUGACAAGGUAAAACAUCUGUCGUUUCUGCCCCUGAACAAGGCAGUUGUUGUUCAUAGGCUGUCAUUGUAAAUAAGUAUUGUUCUUAACUGACUUAGUUAAAUAAAAGGUUACAAUAGAAAAUCAUUUAAAUGAAAUGCCUGGGGUCUGUCUCUCCAGCUGCACUCAUCAGAGAGAGUCUGGGUCUGAGUAGCAGAACAGGAGUAGAGCCUACACUCAUCUCUCUCUCCCUCCUCCUACCUCAGAGCAUGUUAUGCACACCUGUUUGCCCUCUCUUCCUCUCUCAUAAACAUCCAGUAGAAUUCCCCUUGACUCUCUCAUAAAGUUCUGUAACGACCAUCUGAAGGAAUCCCAUGACAAGUGGCGAAUGCUGUCGGCCUAUUUUCCAGUCCUCUAUCGCUUUAGAACACGUUCUACUGUAGGACAGGCAACAUCAUGAAACACAACAUAGCAGAGGAAUGCCAGGGUUCCCACAGUGACCGUACGUACAUACCCCAACCAGAAGCCAUAGAUUACAGGCAACAUCAUGGAACACAACAUAGCAGAGGAAUGCCAGGGUUCCCACAGUGACUGUACGUACAUACCCCAACCAGAAGCCAUAGAUUACAGGCAACAUCCACACUGAGCUAAAGGGAAGAGCUGCCGCUUUCAAGGAGCGGGACUCUAACCCGGAAGCCUAUAAGAAAUCUGCUAUUCCCUCCAACGAACCACCAAACAGGCAAAGCGUCAAUACAGGACUAAGAUUGAAUCGUACUACACCGGCUCUGAUGCUUGUCGGAUGUGGCAGGGCUUGAAAACUAUUACAGACUACAAAGGGAAGCACAGCCGUGAGCUGCCCGGUGACACGAGCCUACCAGACGAGCUAAAUGACUUAUAUGCCUCCACAUUAUAGCCUCCACAUUGACUCUGUACCGUAACACCCUGUAUAUAGCCUUCACAUUGACUCUGUACCGGUACCCCCUGUAUAUAGCCUCCACAUUGACUCUGUACCGUAACACCCUGUAUAUAGCCUCCACAUUGACUCUGUACCGGUACCCCCUGUAUAUAGCCUCCACAUUGACUCUGUACCGUAACACCCUGUAUAUAGCCUCCACAUUGACUCUGUACCAUAACACCCUGUAUAUAGCCUCCACAUUGACUCUGUACCGGUACCCCCUGUAUAUAGCCUCCACAUUGACUCUGUACCGUAACACCCUGUAUAUAGCCUCCACAUUGACUCUGUAGCGGUACCCCCUGUAUAUAGUCUCCACAUUGACUCUGUACCGGUACCCCCUGUAUAUAGCCUCCACAUUGACUCUGUACCGGUACCCCCUGUAUAUAGCCUCCACAUUGACUCUGUACCGUAACACCCUGUAUAUAGCCUCCACAUUCACUCUGUACCG